rfam:Dipodomys ordii contig_35737, whole genome shotgun sequence.
GGGAAGGUAGCUCAGUGGUAGAGCGCUUGCUUUGAAUGCAUGAGGCCCUGAGUUUGACUCCUCAACACCA